UAGCUGUGAUUUCUGUUCAGUCAUGCAUGAUUUUUUUUUUUGCCUUUUACUAAAGAUUUCUGUGGCGGGGAUAAUCCAUAAGUUUGAUGUAUUUUUGUGAGCUUUGCUCUUGCAAAGCU